rnacentral:rRNA from 1 species
CUGGGUCUUGCGGCGAUCGAACGCUGCAGGAAAAGGCAGGCCUCCCGGCUCACCUGGAUGCGUGCGGGAGAUGCUCCUACCAAGUUUUUCAUGGCCAAGAUCAGCUCAAGAAGACGCAAGAACUUCAUCAAUGCCCUGAAAGUGGGAGACAGCAUCGUGACUGCACAUGCAGAGAAGCAAAAGGCAAUUCACGAGGAUUUCAACUGCAUUCUAGGAUCCACACAACAUCGAGCUACGUCGAUCAACUGGGAUGAGCUAUGUAUGCCCGCGCUGCAAGCAAGCGGACUGGACAACCCG